UUUCCGUAGGUGAACCUGCGGAAGGAUCAUUCAUAAUAAAGUGUUUUAUGGCACUUUUUAAAAAUCCAUAUCCACCUUGUGUGCAAUGUUAGAUCUCGUCAAUCUUGGCGAGAUUUUUAUACACCAACUCAUUCUUUAACUAAUUUGUCUGAAAAAUAUUAUGAAUACUUAAUUCAAAAUACAACUUUCAACAACGGAUCUCUUGGCUCUC
rnacentral:misc_RNA from 1 species